AGAGUUUGAUCCUGGCUCAGGACGAACGCUGGCGGCGUGCUUAACACAUGCAAGUCGAACGGAAAGGCCCCUUCGGGGGUACUCGAGUGGCGAACGGGUGAGUAACACGUGGGUGAUCUGCCCUGCACUUUGGGAUAAGCCUGGGAAACUGGGUCUAAUACCGAAUAGGACCGCAUGCUUCAUGGUGUGUGGUGGAAAGCUUUUGCGGUGUGGGAUGGGCCCGCGGCCUAUCAGCUUGUUGGUGGGGUAAUGGCCUACCAAGGCGACGACGGGUAGCCGGCCUGAGAGGGUGUCCGGCCACACUGGGACUGAGAUACGGCCCAGACUCCUACGGGAGGCAGCAGUGGGGAAUAUUGCACAAUGGGCGCAAGCCUGAUGCAGCGACGCCGCGUGGGGGAUGACGGCCUUCGGGUUGUAAACCUCUUUCAGUAUCGGCGAAGCUCCAGGAUUUUUCUUGGGGUGACGGUAGGUACAGAAGAAGCACCGGCCAACUACGUGCCAGCAGCCGCGGUAAUACGUAGGGUGCGAGCGUUGUCCGGAAUUACUGGGCGUAAAGAGCUCGUAGGUGGUUUGUCACGUUGUCUGUGAAAACUCACAGCUUAACUGUGGGCGUGCGGGCGAUACGGGCAGACUGGAGUACUGUAGGGGAGACUGGAAUUCCUGGUGUAACGGUGGAAUGCGCAGAUAUCAGGAGGAACACCGGUGGCGAAGGCGGGUCUCCGGGCAGUAACUGACGCUGAGGAGCGAAAGCGUGGGGAGCGAACAGGAUUAGAUACCCUGGUAGUCCAA
rnacentral:rRNA from 1 species